rnacentral:rRNA from 1 species
CGGCGGACGGGUGAGUAACACGUGGGUAACCUACCUAUAAGACUGGGAUAACUUCGGGAAACCGGAGCUAAUACCGGAUAAUAUUUCGAACCGCAUGGUUCGAUAGUGAAAGAUGGUUUUGCUAUCACUUAUAGAUGGACCUGCGCCGUAUUAGCUAGUUGGUAAGGUAACGGCUUACCAAGGCGACGAUGCGUAGCCGACCUGAGAGGGUGAUCGGCCACACUGGAACUGAGACACGGUCCAGACUCCUACGGGAGGCAGCAGCC